GACGAACGCUGGCGGCGUGCUUAACACAUGCAAGUCGAGCGGUAAGGCCCUUUCGGGGGUACACGAGCGGCGAACGGGUGAGUAACACGUGGGUGACCUGCCCUCAGCUCUGGGAUAAGCCUGGGAAACCGGGUCUAAUACCGGAUAUGACUCCAUGACGCAUGUUGUGGGGUGGAAAGCCUUGUGCGGCUGAGGAUGGGCCCGCGGCCUAUCAGCUUGUUGGGUGGGGGG
rnacentral:rRNA from 1 species